AUUUUGGCUCUUGAGAUUGUAACAAAUACCAAGAGGCCCAGAAACAGCACAGUGUUUCCUGGCAUUACAUUUUUUAAAAGAGAGAGCACACACUAGGGGUUGCUUUUUCUAAAUCUCUGCCAGCUUUAUCAACUGGGAGGUGGGACUGAUUGGACUCCUCAGGAGCCGUGGUGACGUUGGAGAAGAUGCUGAUGUCCGAUCCAGUCCUCGGGGGCCGGGCCCGGGUCCCACUCUGUGCAAAGCGCUCCGCACAUACCUCUGCCCCUGCCAGCAGAUGGAAGGGAGGUAAGAACGUCCUGUUUCUUGCUGGGCUCGGUGCUCUAGUUGCUUGUGUGCAGUCAGAGCUCAGAAGUGGAAGAACCAGGAUCUUGACUCAGGUCUGUCCAAGUUCAAAGUCUGUACCUAUCCAUUCAGGUCAGAGUCUAAGACCAAAGCUCUGGCAAGAUCAAGGGGCCCAGUAGUGCCUGGAGAAGAGGGACCCACAUUGGGAUGAACAGCUGACUCCAGACUCCAGUCCGUCUGGACUCCACCGCACAGACCAGCCCACUCUCUCUGCGAUGGGCCAGACAACUCACUCAUCUCCCAUCACUGUCACUUCCUCUGGACUCUCUCCAAGUGCCGGAUGCUUCUGGCUGCUACAACAUCCUAACCCACACCGGCCCAGGGCCCGCAGCGCUCAGCUCCACGCCAGCAAUGAAAGUGGCUUAUGCAAAGUGCCCAGGAACAGGACCAGGAGCAGCCAGCCUGCAGAGGGAGCUUCGGUGGGAACUGUGCCACCCCGGGGAAGUGUUUAUCUGGGCAGGCAGGAAGCAGGGAACUCAGAGGGUAACAGAGCCAGAGCCCAGUGAGGUAAGCACAGAGGAACGAAGUGAAAUUUUCCAUUCUCAUUCAGCCAUGAGUAAAGUUGUGAGGAGUCAGGGCAGCUGCUACGACUUGGAACUGAUUUCAUGGGUACAUCUCUUCGCCAAUCUGGGCUUUUAUUUCCCCAUAUGUUCUUCCUUUAGCUUCCAUAAGACUUCAACAAAUACAAUCACAGAAAAAAGUGAUCUGAAGCCUGUGUGGCGUAUUUUUGUUCAUUUAUUUAACAAACACCCAAUAAUACAUAUUAUGUCAGGUACCAUUCUAAGAACUUUAUAUAUAACCAUGACACGAUGCCGCCUCAUUCAUUUAUUCAUUCAUUCACUACAAAAAAUUUGGAUAUAUUUUGUGAAACAACAUUGUGCUAGAAAUAAAAAGGCAUAUGAUACGUUUUUUUUUUUCUCUCAUGGGUUUACUGGGAGAGACAGACAAGGAAAUCAGCAACACAAUGCCUGUAAUAAUGGCACACACAGCCCACGUCAUUCGUCCUGGGGGCUAGGAGGAAGGGCAUGUAACAGCCCCAAGUAGGUGGUCUUAAACUGUGUCUUGAAAGGGGUGUGAGGAGGGGGCAAUGCCACAGGAAUGGCCUGGGCCCAGCUUUGGGAGUCAGACUGCCCCUGCAGGGGAUUGCAGGCCACAUUCCACAGGCCUAGAGCACAGGGGCAUGUUUCUGUGGAUGAGGAGGGGUCUUGGGCUGCCUGGGUCGCCAUAACAAAGUGCCACAGACUGGGGGGAUCAAACAACAGGCAUUUAUUUGCUCACAGCUCUGGAGGCUGGAAGUCCCAGUUCAAGAUCAAGGUGUCAGCAGUUUGGAUUUCUCCCGA